rnacentral:rRNA from 1 species
AUGAAAAUUGCUCUUGGCAUUGCCCGUGGUUUGGAAUACCUUCAUGAUAACUGCAACCCCUCGAUUAUCCAUGGUGAUAUUAAGGCUACCAAUGUCCUACUUGAUGGAAAUUUUGAAGUUGUGUUUGGAGACUUUGGACUGCCAAAGUUAAUGGACCAAGGGAAGGAAAUAAUGAUGAUAGAGAUCCCGGGAACAUUGGGCUACAUGGCUCUAGAGUACAGGAAAGACAUCAACAAAAAUCGACAUAUAUGGAUAUGGUGUCUUGAUAUUAGAGAUUGUGACGGGAAAGGGUUCAGACUUCCAUGUUAA